GACGAACGCUGGCGGCGUGCUUAACACAUGCAAGUCGAACGGAAAGGCCCUGCUUUUGCGGGGUGCUCGAUUGGCGAACGGGUGUGUAACACGUGAGUAACCUGUCCCUGACUUUGGGAUAAAUUCAGGAAACAGGGGCUAAUACCGGAUAGGAUCUCCUGCUGCAUGGUGGGGGUUGGAAAGUUUCGGCGGUAUGGGAUGGACUCGCGGCUUAUCAGCUUGUUGGUCGGGUAGUGGCUUACCAAGUCUUUGACGGGUAGCCGGCCUGAGAGGGGGACCGGCGUCAUUGGGACUGAGGGACGGAGCAGACGCCUACGGGAGGCAGCAGUGGGGAGUAUUGCGCAGUGGGCGGGAGCGUGAGGCAGCGACGCCGCGUGCGGGAUGACGGCCUUCGAGUUAUAAACCGCUUUCGCCUUUGACGAAGCGGGAGUGACGGUAAUGGGUAAGGAAGCACCGGCUAACUACGUG
rnacentral:rRNA from 1 species